rnacentral:rRNA from 1 species
UACGAAGGGGGCUAGCGUUGCUCGGAAUCACUGGGCGUAAAGGGCGCGUAGGCGGCCAUAUAAGUCGGGGGUGAAAGCCCAGGGCUCAACCCUGGAAUUGCCUUCGAUACUGUAUGGCUCGAGACCGGAAGAGGUUAGUGGAACUGCGAGUGUAGAGGUGAAAUUCGUAGAUAUUCGCAAGAACACCAGUGGCGAAGGCGGCUAACUGGCCCGGUACUGACGCUGAGGUGCGAAAGCGUGGGGAGCAAACAGG